rnacentral:lncRNA from 1 species
AUUACUAGCAUUGGAGACAAGGAUAAUAGUUUGUUUGAAAGAGAAAAGAACAGGCUUUGAAGUAAGCCUAAAUGCGUUUAACUAGAAAUAGUAUUUCGAAAGUUAUUAAGCACAAAAGAUGAAUUGCGUUUAUUUUGAUACACCUUGUAGAGCUGGGAAAUACUUGUAAAUGGUUGAAGUACAUGCAUGAAGAAAAUUAACAUUCAUUUCUCUCAUAGCGGAGUGGGACCGAAAAAGAAAAUAAUUCGUCAGGCCUUAUUUUUUUCUGAUUCGAGCCCUGCUUGCCAUGGCCAAUAUUAAUAACAAUUAAUUAUAUAAGAUACAGUAUAGUAUGUAUUGUGUUAAAAAUAUAUAGUAGAGAAUUAACCAUUACUGUAGGACCAACUGAUAACGCUUCUUAGGUACGAAGUAAAAAUGCCUAUACAUGCACGAUGCCAACAAAAAAUUGUAUAAAGCUGAUUUAUAUAGACAUCAUUGGAAAGUCAAUUUCAUGGAGAACAAUAUAUCCAAAAUCCGCCUAUAGCUAUACCAUCUCACGCGCGAGUUUUAUAGGGGCAGCAAAUCGCUUUUCUAGAAUUUUUGCCAACUUCAUGCAUGCUGUCCAUAUCUCGGUAAGUUUUACUUCAAAAAUGUAAAACUAUACCAUUCUCCUGAUUAGCUUUUCUUACUUUUUUCCACUGCGGACUGGUACUAUUUAUUUUCACAUUUGAGUAACUUAAACAAUUAUGCUUGUUACCUUAUUAGUGUUUCAUUUUAUAAGGAAUAUUUUGGUGCUCAUGGGGCAAUAAAGCCUAGUUUCCAUUUGGUCGUUAGUUGUCGCUGGCACGACAAGCAGUAGAUGUGAAAUAGUCUAAUAGUUGACCUGCAUCUAAGGACGAAAGCGGACUUCAUUUAUGCAAUGUUCUUUCGUCAAAAUUCAAGAUCUGAUUGGUUAUGUUAGUGAAUAUAUGCUAAUGCGACCUAAAACGACCUAUAAAGAAACUUAUGUAUAUGCAGAUUAUUUGUUAUGAUAUGGAUGAAAUAAAAUUAUUGCUUGCCUCUGCAAAUUCCAUUCCCGGAAUAUAAGUUUGGGAGACCCGCUUUAACAUGAUGCAUGACACAUGUAUCGACAUUCAAUUUAUUCACGAUUUAGUCCCGUUCAGUCACAACCAAUAACAACCAUGCAAGUAUUGUGCCUAAGCAUGCAAAUUCAAAAGCGGCAACCAGUAGAAAUCAGCGAUUUUGCUUAUGCUAACGUCUCGAUAAUGAUAUUAACUGAGGCUAUAAGUCAUUAGAUGCAGGUCAACUAUUAUAAUAAUAGUCUUUUUGUGUGUUAUAUGCAAAUCAUGUCGUGCCAGCGACAACUAACGACCAAAUGGAAACUAGGCUAAAACCGGCGGUCCAUUACGUAAAAACAAACGCAAGCAUGUUAAAACAAAACAGCAAAACUAAUUGAAAAUUUGAAAAUUAUAAUUUAAUUUGUUAUUAAUAAGAUAUCUGCGAAUGGUUUUAAGUGGAAAGGAAGGAAUACAUUGGUAAAUUUUGUUUUCUUCGACCAAAUGUGUACCACGCUGCUAAUAUACAUUUCAAAUCAUGCAUUUCUUGUUUGUUUCGAAUAUAAAUGCCAUAUUACAUAUAAUAAACUUUUUAUUAACUUCGCUUGUUCGGUCUUUACAGAGAAAUAUCAGACCUCGGUCUUUUUGUGAAAACCUCUCCCUACGGAAUCGGUCUGUACAAAAAAAGACCUCGAUCCGAUAUUUCUCUGUAAAGACCUCGCGCUCGGUUAAUAAGAAGUUAAUAUCUGUUUAAUCAUUAUACCUAUACCUCAGUAUAUUUGAUAGUAAACAUAUACUUGUGUCAAGUUGGUUUAAAAAAUUUAUUGUCAUUUCCAUGCAUGUCUCACUCAAAUCUUGAAGAUUAAAAAUCAUAGUCAC